GUCUUGAAAACCCUAUGUGCUCUGCCCCACCUCGUGCGUUACAAAAAACAGAUCACGAACCAGCAUAGCCUACAGCCGCCGCCGGUCCCCAGGCUUGCGAACCUGCCGAUCGAUAUCUUCUUUCGGCAUUUUUUCUCUCUCCCUCUCUCUCCAUGAACCAUGAACGCCCAGAAUAGGAGGUUGCACUCUUCGUCUCUGCAGCAGUGGUCACGGUGCUCCGGCGGUCUUCGUCUCCCCAUCAUUAGUCACGGCGCUGCGGCGGCCGCUUCAGAUGAAUGUCGUUCGCAGGCACCUUCUGAAUUUUGCUGCCCACGAUGUGCCUGGGAUUUCUUGUUCACGCAGGUGUACAUCAUCAGGUGUGCACUAUGGAAACAAGAAGCUGGAAUUAGAAAGUGAGGAAUUGGUGCUCUACUGCCGCUGAUGACUAGUUGUUAUCGAGGAGUCGACACAACAAAAUACCAUGGAUUUAUAAAGUGGUUUGGACGGUGUCCUGCAAGUUUAUGUGGCAUUAUCUGCUUUAUGUCUAGGUAUAGGUUCUAGCUAGUUUGGAACAUAAAGUUUUUUUUUUGAAAAAGAGGCAAAAGCUUUGCCCCAUAUAUAAAUUAAGAAAAGGGUGCUCGGUUUUUAGGAGAAAACCGAGCGAAAACCUACAGCAACGGGCCAAGCCCACACAACCAACACACUCACACAAACCACAAAGCAACAAUGACAAACACUUGAACUUGAGACUCCAAUGCCGUGUCA